GGGGGGGGGGGGGGGGGGGGGGAGGGGGGGGGGGGGGGGGGGAAGGGGGCGGCUGUUGGGGGGUGCUCGGGUGGCGACGGGGUGAGUAACCCGGGGGGGCGCGGCCCGUGGCUGUGGGAUAACUUCAGGACACUGGGGCGAAUACCGGAUAGGAGGUCCUGCUGCCAGUGGGUUGUUGGGCAGUUUCGGCGGUUGGGGCUUGACUCGCGGCGUAGCAUCUGGUUGGUGGGGUAGUUGCUGUCCAAGGCGUUGACGGGUCGCCGGCCUGAGAGGGUGACCGGCCACAUUGGGACUGGGAUACGGCCCAGAAUCCUACGGGAGGCAGCAGUGGGGAAUAUUGCACAAUGGGCGGAAGCCUGAUGCAGCAACGCCGCGUGCGGGAUGACGGCCUUCGGGUUGUAAACCGCUUUCGCCUGUGACGAAGCGUGAGUGACGGUAAUGGGUAAAGAAGCACCGGCUAACUACGUG
rnacentral:rRNA from 1 species